rnacentral:rRNA from 1 species
UACGUAGGGCGCAAGCGUUGUCCGGAAUUAUUGGGCGUAAAGAGCUCGUAGGUGGCUUGUCGCGUCUGCCGUGAAAGCCCAUGGCUUAACUGUGGGUCUGCGGUGGAUACGGGCUGGCUAGAGGUAGGUAGGGGCAAGCGGAAUUCCUGGUGUAGCGGUGAAAUGCGUAGAUAUCGCUUGGAACGCCGAAGGUGAAAACAGGCUGCUGGGGUUGCGCCGACGCUGAGACACGAAAGCCAGGGGAGCAAACGGG